GUGGUUCAGCGGUAGAAUCCCUGUCUGCCACACAGGAGGCCCGGCUUGAAUUCCCGGC
rnacentral:tRNA from 1 species